rnacentral:rRNA from 1 species
GAUGAACGCUGGCGGCGUGCCUAAUACGUGCAAGUCGAGCGAACAGAUGAGGAGCUUGCUCCUCUGACGUUAGCGGCGGACGGGUGAGUAACACGUGGAUAACCUACCUAUAAGACUGGGAUAACUUCGGGAAACCGGAGCUAAUACCGGAUAAUAUAUUGAACCGCAUGGUUCAAUAGUGAAAGACGGUUUUGCUGUCACUUAUAGAUGGAUCCGCGCCGCAUUAGCUAGUUGGUAAGGUAACGGCUUACCAAGGCAACGAUGCGUAGCCGACCUGAGAGGGUGAUCAGCCACACUGGAACUGAGACACGGUCCAGACUCCUACGGGAGGCAGCAGUAGGGAAUCUUCCGCAAUGGGCGAAAGCCUGACGGAGCAACGCCGCGUGAGUGAUGAAGGUCUUCGGAUCGUAAAACUCUGUUAUUAGGGAAGAACAAAUGUGUAAGUAAAUAUGCACGUCUUGACGGUACCUAAACAGAAAGCCACGGCUAACUACGUG